AGUUUCCAGGAGUGUGGACAUCCAUGCAUGAACAUUGUGGAGGGGUUGGGGGUUGGCUAGUGGAUGCUCAUCUUGCUUGACUGCCCAUGCUGGAGAGGAGAACCCAGUCAUUGGCCACUUCAGGUCCAGGCUUGGUUGUUGCUCUGUUUUGCUGUUUUUCAUGUUGUCAGAUCUUCUUGGGAACAAAUGACUCAGCAACCCAAAUCUCUGAGACUGUGUGGUCAAUUACUUGAAAAGUAAUUGAACAUAUCUACCUAGCCCCUAAAAUUUUGAGCCCAGGAAGGAUGGAUAUCCAGACUGGUUUUACUCCGGAUUCUUCAGGCUGCAGUUCAAUUUGGUUUUUCAAAUUCCUGCCCUGAUAGAAGGAUCUCAUUUGUGGGGUAGGCAGGCAAUGUUUUAAUUACGCUUUUUGUCCUUAAGAAAUUCCAGGGAGAAAAAGGUCCUGGUUUGUGGCCAAAAAGGCAAAAAAACAACAGAAAUCAGCUAUGACUGUAAUCCUGGACUUGUCUGUGGCACAAAGAGUUAAUGGGACAGUGGUCAGGGUGAGGAACAUUUUUUCUCAGGGCUGGAGAAGCCCAUAUGGCUCAAGAAAAGAUGUUGCAACAUUUAGUACAGGGCAGCCCUGUCUGGGCACUGGGGGCUGCCACUCAAAGAGUUAAGCUACUCUUAUGCCUGGGAAGGCCUCAGGGAAGGAGUGAGCCUGAAAGGACAGGGACCUCUAUGCCCCAGAGCAGUGAGGUGCAGGAGGGGUGAGGUGGGAGGGUGUGAGCUGAAAAGUGUGGCCAAGGAAGCAAAGUGUAGGCCCAACUUUUUUUGCCUUGUUUGACCAGCCUUGGCACUGCCCUCCGGCUCUCCAGGGGAAAAGCUGCAGUUCUGCUCUUGCAACACAAGGAGCAGACUGGAGAAUUUAGAUCUGCGUCACAGAGCUGAGAGAGAGAGAGAGAGAGAGUGAGAGUGAGAGAGCGAGCGAGCAAGCAAGCUCCGUCGAUAGGUCUGCUAGCAACAGCCGUGCUGCAGCAGAGAGAGAGAGAGAAAUCAAGAAACAAGUCAUAGCAACACCGGGCACCAGGUUCUGCCAGCUCACUUGCUGAGCGUUCAGAGAUCUGUCAGGGCCAGAGGCCUCUGGGUAGCCUAGGCUAGGAGAUGACACGCAAGGUGGCACGGGCGGUUCCCGCGGGGAGGAGGUGGGGUGGUGGUGGGGGGCAGGGGUGGGAGCAAGAGGUUGUGGGGCGACGGUGGAGGGUUUGAUGGGACCAAAUUCUGGAACAUUCGGGACUGCGGCACCUUACGGCGGGACCAAGAUUUGGGUCUGCGCAGGCGGCGAUGGGUGGUCCGACGGGCUUCAGGACUUGAUGGCGUAACCCCCUUCUUCCCCCACGUAUGUAUUUGCUGGGAUCAGGGGCGCUGUCUCUGUGUAUGUGGGUGCUCUGUCUUUCUCACCUUCUUUCUCGAUUUUUGCUAUUUAUUUCUCUGAGGGAGGGUUUUUUCCCACUUUAAUUUCUUUUCCCUAGUGUCAGCUGCUCAAGCCUGACCAGGGUAGAGGAGAGAGGAGUGAACCAUCCCCUGCUUCCCACCUGACCUCCCAGCUUUUACCCUAUUUCCUUCUAGUGGACAGACAGACUGGUUCUCCAAGUUGUUUGGGUGUCAGCGUCCAUCUGUCUGUCCGUGCAGGUCUUAUGUGGAAGGUAAGGGAGUGAGAAGUGCCGAAAGGAAGACAGAGGGACAGUUUUUUCCCAGGGGUUGCCUUAUUGAAAGGUCUGGCCCUGGGAUUCUGAGGCUGGUGGGGAGCCGAGUGGCCAGGGUGGGGUGUGGGCUGGGAGAAGUGGGGUAAAGCUGGUAGGUUUGUCACUGCGUAGUUGGGAAAAGUGGGGAAUGGUGACGCAGUCACUGUUGCAUCUGCUUAGGAGCUCUAUGGGGACAGGUAGUGAGGCUCCUGGGGUCUCUGUGGCCAGCUGAGAGGGGUUAAGGAUGAGCUAAGAAGGGAAGCUAGCAUUUAGAGAUUAAAUGUCAUCCUUUUGGCGUUGGAAAGUUGUUUACCUUGCGCUCUCUGUGUCUCCAUGUUGGCUCCCUUCCAGUUCACAUGUGAUGGCCUUCCCUGUACUGCUGCAUCAUUAACUAAGUGACUGAGCUGGCCUUCCAUUGGCCAGGGGAGGGCUCUCCCUCCAGACACUUCCUCUGAUUGGUGGGUGGGCCAAUGGCAGGUGAAAAGCUUUUUUUGAUUGGCUCAGGGCAGGGUAUCAAAUCUGAAUUUGCAUUUCACUUGCUUAAAGGGGAGCGGGGAGAAGCCCAGCAGCUUUCUAAAAUCUCUUUAGGGGUGUGCGUAGGCUCCUGUGUCUAUGCCUGCUUUUGACUGCCCAGUUGAAGCCUCUUCCUAUGCCUUUUAAAAUUUCACGCACUAUAAGGAGGAAGAGCUCAGGGCUCCCAAAACUUUUUAUUUAGAGGGAAGAAUGCUAGGGAGAUGGGUAUGCAGAGGGUUGACCAAAUUGGAAGAAAAUAUUUAUUCUGUAGUUUGGUGUUGGAAAAGGGAAUUUUCCAAUCAGCCACACCUCAGUGUUGCGGCAAAAUAAUUCUUGGCUCCCCUGGAAACGCAUGGGCAAGGUAGGGCAGAGCUGCUGCUGCUGAUACUGCCACCACCCUGGGCUUCCUGCUGACUCCGGGCUACUCCCUGGGGACAACAGAUUUGCAUUGACGUCCGGGGCUGUCCAGAGGCCCUCAAGAGCCAGUUGUGAGCUGAGCCCAGUAUGGGAAAGAUCUACCUUCUGGAAGCUACUACUACGUGGUGCUUGGAAAGGUGAGGAUGGGGGACUGACCCCAGGAAAUUGCUCGAAACUCCGUAUCUGGUGGGAUUUCCAGAAAAGUCAGUGGGAGACGGGAGGUUUGGAGGCCCCGGGUUAGAAAGGUUUGUCAGUCUGGGGAAUGAGGAGAAUCAGAAUAAAACUAGGGCAGCAGGCUGUUCGCCUUUGGUUGGGGGAGGGAGGCCUCGAAAAAUCAGGGUCCCGGCUCUCUAACCUGUCUUUGUCGCAGGUCUCACGUUUGUGGGGAGGGGGUUUACCAAGCCCUGCGCCAUGCGCAGUGGCCCCCACCCGUGACUGCGCAUCUGGAAGCGCAGUGCGCCCUGGGUCUCUGGCCUAGGACGAGCACCGCCCUUCUUAUUACAUAACUGAGGGCAUGGCACGCGCCUUCUCGGCCCUUCCUUGCAACCCUACCUUCUUGCUCCCCAGGGCCCAUAGAGCUGGGGAGGGUCUGACUGGGGAGCAGUGAAGGACUGCAAUCCCUGGGAGGGCUAACUCUUGUCUAGUUACUGGCAGGGGCCAAGCUUGAGGACAAAAGUGGUGGUUUUCUAGCCUCAUCUUGGGGAAGAGGCUACAGAACAUCCUUCUGAGUGCCCCAUACCACCUAUGGCCCUUAGGGCCUCUCUGGUGGAGGGGGUGGCACCCUUCUUUCACUCAUGUCCCAUCUGAUUUUUGAGAGGAUGUUUCUGAAGGAAAAGAUGUGAUGAUUAUGGGGGGCUUGGUUGGGAGGUAGUUUUGACAGUUUACUCCCCUUGUCACUGGCUUCCCUUCUUUUCCCUGGGUGGGUUUAUGUCUGGACUCCUCUGAUGAGCUGCCAUUUUGGAGCCAUUUCUGCUGGUCUCCGACAUGGUGGCGUUGGUUUUUCUGUCCUGCUGUGCCAGUUCCGCAGAGUGGGCGGGGGGCGGGGGCUAUGACGGAGGAGGGGAAGGGGGGGCAAAAGCACAGCAGAGGCGGGCACAGUGGUGGCUGCCGCAAUGAAGGUGGCUCCAGGGGCAGAGCCGCCUAGUCCCACCCUUGGACACAGUCCUGGGUGGGGAUUCAGGUGGAAGGCGUCUGGGUAGGGGUUCAACACCUGGGCCCGGCUUUGCCAGAGCGUGGGUUUCCCAUGUCCUCAUCAGCCUGAUGCUUGGAGUAGUUCGGAAAAGCUGAGUGUCUGAAUGAGAGUGGAGGCAGAGGCUCGGCAGCUCAUCUCAGACGUGUCAGACCCGUGGUUUGUGUUCCCCAAAUAGGCUCUGUCUCCAGCAGCCUCCCUGUGGGGACAGGGAAGUGAGGUCCAUGGCAGCUUUGAGGAUCUGUUCGGAUGGUCCUGCCUGCUUACUGUUUUUCUUCUCUUUCUCCUCCAUGCCCCCUGCCAGUGCCAUGGUUCCAGCUGUAGUCCUCUUGUGAGGCUCCCCGCUGCCCGUUCCCCCUCUCUCCAGGCCCUUCUGCGUGCAGCGGCCAUCUUGUCUUUCUUGCUCAGAAACUUAAAAUGGUUUCUCAUAAUUCCCAGAGUAAAAUUCCUUCCCUUUAGCGUGAUGCUCAGUGCUGGCCGUAACUGGCCUUAGGUUUCCUGUACAGUCUUACCUCUCUCAGUUUCUUUUGGUGGACCACAGGUUCCAACAAAACCAGGCAACUUCCUUUUCCUAUCUGUUUUCACCAGUGAUGUUUUCCAUGCCUCUUCUCCUCUGCAUCCACCUGUGGCAGUCUCACUUUCUCCGUGGACCUCUCCUGAUUUCCUUUGCAAGAAGCAGUUCUCAUAACCACCCCUGCCCUUUCAGCCAAACUUCCAUACAGUCUGUCCCUUUUUAUGGUACUUUUGUUGUGUUAUGAUUACGUGUAAGUCUUAUGUCACCUAUCGGAUUGGGAGCUCCAGGAGGGAGGCUAGAGAAAGGAGAAGGAAAACAAAUACCUAUUUGGUGCCUUCUGUUUGACAGAUACCAUGUUAGACACUUUCCCUGCAGUUACUUCAUUUAUUCCUUUCCACAGCCCUGUGGGGAGCAUCCCAUGUCUAGUAAGUGGCCUGGUCAUGACUAGAGCCCUGGUCUUCCAAAGCCUUUACAUUUUUCCUCUCUGAAUUACUGGUGUUUACAAGAUGGCUGUUAUGAAGUAGAUCCCCAAAAUUUGUCUAUUUAAGGAAUUUUGUAAGUCCCUAAUGCUCUGAGGGAGUUUGGGUGGUCAAUCUUGUGUCCAUGGUCUGGGUCCCUCAGCUGUUCCUUGACACUGUCAUUAACUUUCUCCUCUUCCUUUGUGGUCAGGUUCACUCAAGAUGAUGGCUUUUUUCUUGUAGCUGAAAUUGAUGGAUUAACUGACUCAGUUAUCCUGGUUGCCUUCCUCGUACAAGAGGAGGAAGAGGUGGAGUGGGAUAUAGCAUCUUCAAAGCCAGAAUAAGCUCCAGAAUUAGAGAGCAGAGAGCAGAGACACUGGACUUGAACAGACCUAGGUUUUCAUUGUGAUCCUUCUUCUUAGCUGAGUGACUUUAGACAAGUCAUAUGAUUUAAGUUUUCAUGUCCUCGUUCAGUGAGAUGGAGCUACUACAACUGUUAUACAGAAAUGCCUAAUAUAUUGGCAGCAAAUAGGUUCCCAUCCCUACCCAGUGGUUUAUCAGGGACUUAAAAUGGGAGCAUAGCACGGGGCUAGAGAAGAAAUGGGGGAGACAGGAGCUCCUGUGCCCUAAGUGGUAUCACAGCAGGGGCGCAGAGGAGGUAACCUAGGCGUUACGCCCUUCAAGCCUGCAAGGUGGUACUGUCCCCCACCUGGCAUAAAUACCCCUUUACUUCUGCAUCAGGAACAUGCCGUGGCAUGGAGUGGUGGGGGCUGGUGACGGCAGAGGGAGGGUCAGUGAGCUUUCCUGGGAGCCUUUUGAUGCCAGGUUAGUUUCCCUUCUUUCUGAAUCUCAGCAGUGGCUGCCUGCUUCCCUGACACUGCUGAGUCCCAUGGGAGGGGAGCUGGGCACCCUGAAGCCCCUCGUUACCAAUUCGGGGGCCGCGAAGCAGAGAGUGACGACAGCCAGUGAGUCGUCAGUCGACGGCAAUGGGGACCCUGGUGACGGCUGCUUUGUUGUUUUUUUUCCUCUUUGGAAGAUGACUCAGUGUAUCGGGAGCCGGGAGAUGGAGCUCUCAGCAGAGUGGCCAGGAUGUUCUGUCAACAUGAAAGCUACAAAAACAGCUUGGGGCUCUGAGCUGAUCCUUAGCCUGGGGUCAUUUUCAGGGAGGGCUGGACAGAGAAGGCGGCCACCGCCCGGGCAUCAGGAUGGGAGCGACACCAGAGGACUCAGGAGAGUGCAGCUUGCUCUGUGAGUGGGUGACAACCUCUUGGCGACUCAGGCUCAGCUGAGGAUGGUGCCAGUGUGCCGGAGACAGCCGUCAUACUGCCGGAUAGAGUGGCUCACUUGCAUGUAUUUGGAACAAAAAAAGGAGAUGCCUGGCAGCCCCGCUCUCUGCAGUGCUGUUGAGCCACCAAUUUUUGUGGUUUUGUGACCACAAGUGCUGACUGAUGCGACAUGACCCCAGUCUUGUCAGUGAAUCAUCACCAGGCUGCUUACUGGAAACUGGAUGCAGCUAGGAAAUAGGAUUUAACCGCUCUCUGCCUCCCAGGAGCCCUGAAAUCAGCAUUCCCAGAGGAAAGAAGAUGGCCAUCUGGGCUUGGCUUCCGGCUCCCCCCAUCUGGCUGGAACACACAUCAGUCACGUAAGUAGCUGUGACUCAGCACCCAGCACUGCCUUGGCAGAACCUUCCCACGUUCUGGAUUUGCACACACUGUGGUAGCGCAGCACAAGCAAGCAGGGUUAGGUAACUGGGGACCAGUGUCUGUUUGUUCAGUGGGUUUGCUUAUGGAUUUCAGAAAGAAGGAUUCCCUCACCUUCCCAUUUUCCUCCCAUGUUAUUUUUUAGGUACCAUGCUAGGCUUUAAAGACAAAGCAUCAUUUAUAGAAUGAAGUAGAAGCUGUCUUUGCAGUCUCCAAACUAUUUUUAACCGACAGCCUAUAGAUGGUAUUUAACCCUCAGAUGUGUUUGGCCUGCACGGGUUUUUGUUUUUGUUUGAGACAGGGUUUCGCUCUGUAGCCCAGGCUGGAGUGCAGUGGCACGAUAUCAGCUUGCUGCAACCUCUGCCUCCCAGGCUCAAGCAGUUCUCAUGCCUCAGCCUCCUGAGUAGCUGGGACUACAGGUGCGUGCCACCACACCUGGCUAGGGUUAUUUUAAUGUAUCUGAUUUUGCAUGCAUUUAGACAAAAUAUGGCCUCCCCAGUUCACUGUAUUUCUGCUGCAUGCUGUUGCUGCUUCUCUGUCUCAGGUUUCCUGCCCAAGCCCUCCGAGCAUUUGAACGUGCUGUGAGCAGCCUACCUCAGCCUCCUCUCUUUACACAUGAAGACACUGAGGCCCAUUCAGGGCAAGUGGCAGGUCCCUGUUCUCAAAGUUGGGGCCAAGCAGGUAUUAAAACCAUUGUGUUCUGAUUCACUGUGUGCCCAAGCAGAUUAAUGCCCUGGUGUGAGGUCGAGAAGCCUCCAGGUAGAAUGUGGGGACAGAAGUGGACCAGGCUGGAGUAUAGCUCCCACACCUUUUCCCUGCGUGGCAGCACUCGUAAGACUGACAUGCCCACCCUUCUGGAUGGGUGGUUUUCCUCCCCAGACAGCCCUGCCAACCCUUUCACCUUCAGCCAGUUUGUUUGGAGUCAUUAGGCUGAGGUGGGUAAAACCCAUCACCCUCCUUGGAUGGCAGAGCUCUCAGCAGGCUGGGAUUUUCAUGGGCUGCCUUCUUACAGGUCUAGGUGGCCUUCAGGCAUGGUGCCAGGGAAAGCAAGCCCCUUCCAGCCCUUACCAAACUAACUGGCUGCUUCCUAGUAGGGAACAGCCACCAGCUUGUUUCAGCGAAGAGUCAUUGCUCAGCUGAUUGUGAGAGGAGAAAACUGGUUCUGUUGGGAGGGCUGAGACCUGAAGGACCCCUUUUGUCCAGUGGAAUUGGAAAGGCAAAGGAUUUCAAUACUAACAUGAUUUUUUUCUCCACUUCUUUUAGAGUGUUUAAUUAAAGUGAUGCAUUGUUAAUGGCUUCUUAUCUCUUAUUCCAGAGAGUUAAGAGUUAAAUUUUAGAAUCCAGGAGUGGGGACCCAGACUGUGGCUUCUGUUAACUCCCUCAGUGGCAGUGGCGUCCUGCUAUGCACAGCCCCUCUGCUGUACUCCGAAUGGUCCCUUACGGGUAGCAGGAGAGACAUUAAAUAAUCACACUGAUGACCAAGUGAGAUAAGUGGUUUUUGAAGGAAAGAACUUGAGGCUGGCGAGGACCACUUAACCUUCUAGCAAGGGCUGGACUCAGGGAGGCUUUCCUGAGCUGUGGGGAGGAUGACAGGUUCCCUGGAGUGGUGGUGGGUGGGGGCGGAGCUGAGGGGUGGUAGCUAAGGGAGGGUGAAGGAGAGUAUUCCAGAAGAGACAACAGCUUAAGCAGGACCUUGCCAUGGAGGAAGGUGCUUUCUGAUCACCACGGGACACCUGUGUGAUAGCUCAUAGGGAGGGGGUACUGGUAACUAAAAGUUGAUAAGGACGAGUGGCUAAAAUGAAAAGCAGAAAAGUGAGAAUCUCAUCAAAUCCCCUCAUUUGACAGGAUUUGGACUCCCAGUAGUAACUGUCCUUAAACACUCACUCCUGACCUUACAACCCUGGCUGUUACCUGGUUAACAAGCCCCAGGUGUUGGCUACAGGUGUCAUCACUGAGAGCCCUUGUGUGCAGAUCUGCCCCAGCUCUCCCACCUGUGACUGAGGCUAGCAAGUCCCCCGUGGGCUGUAGAGCCUAGCGCUGGUGUCAGAAUCGCUUGUUGCAGGUUCAUCUUCAGUGUCUUUCCCACAGCCACAUGCUGGGGAAAGACGGCAAAGGCGCUAGAGGAGCAGGAGAACAAAGCAAGCUGCCCCAGACCACCCGGCCUUCGCAGAACCCAGAUGAUGCUCCUGUCUCCCCCUAAGUAUAAUGUGUUAUGUAGUCAGUAUGAUCCCAUUCAGUGCAGAAAUAUCGCCUAGGAAUUUCCUGCCCCACCCACCCUGUUUUGUUCUUAAUGAAGUUGAAGAACAAAAUGAGAUGAUAGUCAAGUUAUGGAGCAGGCUGCAGUGGGUACAAGGGCAGAAACACAGUCUUUGGAGUUAGACCUGGGAUCUGCAUUUAUUGGUUGUGUGACUGCAGACAAGUUAUUUAGCCUCAUUAAGGAUGAAUUUCUUCACAAAAAUUGGAAUAAUACCUGCCCCAUACGACUGUUGUGAGAAUUAAACACCACAACUUUUGAUGUUCAAAUUCUAUUUCUUCUCCUUCUAGCAACACAUACUGUUAGUGCCAGGAACCAUAAAAAUUAUAAGGCUGUAUCUAGAGGCCUGAAAGGAAGCUAAAAUAUACAGUUUCUACUCUGUCUCUUUUCUCUUGGUUAUGGUAUCAGAGGAAAUACACAUAUUUUCUUAGCUUCAAACAACCACAAAAGAUGAUGCAGUAAGGAGAUGGGAAAUCUAAUUUGGAAUACAGUGUGCAAAUCUUAUUUUCAAGCAGAUUUUGAAAAUAAAACUCAAUUCUUAUGUUAGAGGAUUAUCUGCUUAAUACAAUUAUAGGGUACCAGUUUUUGAAGUCACAUCAGGGGUUAAAUAAGAUUGCAGAUUCAUGGGGUCAUAUUUGAAUGUUCUGAUACUUACAUAUGGGGUGGGAAGGAGGAAUGCAUGCUUUUCUCAAGUUAAGACACAUAGAAGAGUUGUCCUGGCCUAGGUGAGACUCACCUUUGUGUAGCAGCUGGAGCUUCAUUCCACAGGCAGAUAGGGUGCUUGUGUCCUGAUGAAGUAAGAGAAUAUAUCUGGAAACACUUUGUAUACUGUGAAAUACUAUACAAAUGCAGGGCAGUACAAAUGUAAAUAUUAAUGUAUUUUAGUAAUAAUUUUAGCUUUUAUUUCAUCAUAUAUAAUAAUUUGUAGUGACUGGUGUGAAGUUAAAUAGAAUUAACCUAGAAUUAAUGAGUUUUGUAUUGCUCUCAUCUAUUUGAAGCAUCAGCUGUGCCUUUCAUGUUGCUUUGCGCAGCCCUGUGUAACCUCCUCUGUGCCUUUCCCAUGGAGCACUGUGUCAUAUCACAAGUAGAACUACAAGAAGAUAUUUCUCCUCAGGGCAGAGGCUGGGUCUUCCGAUUGAAUCUCCCUUCUUUCUUCAUUGAGAUCCUCUUCUUCUGGAAGCUGGUUUCACAUGGUGGCUUAGAUUUUUCCAUCUUUGUAUCUAGCACCAUUUGAAAUCAGUGUUUUAGGAGUAAGAAUUGCAGCACAGCCAAGGGUGGACUGCAGAGGAACUGCUGCUCAUGGGACUGGCUCCUGUCCUCUUACCACUUGAGUCUGUUCGAGAAGUCCAGGGAAGAACUUGAAGAGCAAAAUACACUCUUGAGUUUGUUGGGUUUUGGGAGAGGUGACAGUAGAGAAGCGGGUUGUGUUUAAAAUAAACACAGUGGCUUGAGCAGGGGCAGAGGUUGUGAUGCUAUUUCUGUUGACUCCUAGCAGCCAUCACCAGCAUGAAUGUGUUCGUAGGGCCUUUGAGUGUGGCGAUUGUCAUAUUCUGUUGGAUAACAAUGUAUUGGGUAUCGAUUGUCAUGGGGCAGGGGAGAGGGCAGUACACCUGGAGGACCAUUUUGUCCACAUCGACACCAUCAGUCUGCUCUUAGAGGACGACCUGGAGUAUUCGGCGUUGAUUGCGGGGCACCCGAAAUCAGACUUGCCACCUGGACUGUCGAGGUGCAGACCCUGGGAGCACCACUGGCCCAUCUCUUACACAGGCUGACCGAUUUCUCCUGGUGUUCAGAGUCUGUUUUUGUCUAGCACCAUUUGAAAUCGGUUAUGAUGUAGGGGGAAAAGCAGCAGCCUCGAAGCCUCAUGCCAACUCUGGGCAGCAGCAGCCUGUGGUUUCCUGGAAGAUGGAUGGGCAGAGAAUGGGGAAGGAAGAUCAUGCUUUUCCCUACUAACUUCUUUAACUGCAUGUAUGAUACAUUAUUGCAGAGGUAAGAGAUAGUUUAAUGGAUUUUUAAAAACAAAUUACUAUAUCUGAUGUUCUCUAGUUGCAUUUUGCUGAAAUGUAGUGCUGUUCUAAAUUCUGUAAAUUGAUUGCUGUUGAAUUAUCUUUCUGUUGAGAAGAGUCUAUUCAUGCAUCCUGACCUUAAUAAAUACUAUGUUCAGUUUAUCA